GAAAUGCGAUACGUAAUGUGAAUUGCAGAAUUCAGUGAAUCAUCAAAUCCUUGAACGCAACUUGCGCUCGCAGGUCCUCCUGCGAGCAUGCCUGUUCCAGCAUCGGUUCAUUAUCUCAACAAUAAAAAACUUGCAUCACGCGAGUUCGGCGUUGUUGAGGAGUUGAGGCGUCAAGCGCACUCUAGCAGUGCUCUUGUCCCUUUCAAUCGAUCAGAGAACUCUGUCUUGCACUAUCUGUAGAACAUUAAUCUAUGGAUUGCAAUGUCAACCAACAAUUUGGUGCAUUAAUUUCCUUCAUCGGAAAAUACUCGCCACGAUUGGUCGGACCUGACUUGCUCUCACACCAAACAUAGAGUUCUACAACCGCAAUUGACAAGAGUGCUGUCAAGCGAGCGAUCGCCAACGCACUGCGUUGCUGCGCGCUCCACGACUUCUCAAACUUCGAUCUGGAAUCAGGUAAGACUACCCGCUGAAUUUAAGC
rnacentral:misc_RNA from 1 species